AGGAAAGUUGCAAAGAACUUUGAAGAGAGAGUUCAAAGGACGUGAAACCGCUUAGAAGCAAACGGGUGGAGCUGCCAUUACCUUUGUCGGAUUCAGCCGGCCAGGGGUGGACUGCUUUCUCGGGAUCGCAAGACCCGGGAGCGGUUCUGGUCUGCCUCUGGUUGGUGCACUUUCGGCAAAUGUGCGCUACGACCAACUGGGAAGCCAGCUAGAAGGUCACUUGAGUGUCGACUGCGGCCUCACGGUUGCAGUGCCCCAUCUGGUGAACCUGCUCGGUUUUCCCGGUUGAGUAAACGACCGCACCCGCUCGUGUCUCAGCUUGGCUGGCUUGGGGUCGCUGAAUGGUUUGCUGUGCUCGCACGGCAGGCUGUACCCUGGUUCCAGAGCCGACCAAGACUGAGAUGGUGCACAUGGUCUGUAGCGUCCGAGUCAGCCAACCACCCGACCCGUCUUGAAACACGGACCAAGGAGUCUAACAUGUGCGCAAGUCAUUGGGUUGUCUAAACCUAAAGGCGCAAUGAAAGUGAAAGUUAGCUCUAGCUAGCUUAGGUGGGAUCCCCGGCCUCGUCCGGGGCGCACCACCGUCCCAUCGCAUCUGCUUGUCAGAGCGGUGGAGAAAGAGCGCACACGUUGGGACCCGAAAGAUGGUGAACUAUGCCUGAGCAGGAUGAAGCCAGAGGAAACUCUGGUGGAGGUCCGUAGCGGUUCUGACGUGCAAAUCGAUCGUCAGACUUGGGUAUAGGGGCGAAAGACUAAUCGAACCAUCUAGU
rnacentral:rRNA from 1 species